CCCGCCGCGCGCGGCGGGCGGGGCGGGGGCACGGGGGGCCUACGGGAGGCAGCAGUGGGGAAUUUUGGACAAUGGGGGCAACCCUGAUCCAGCCAUGCCGCGUGCGGGAAGAAGGCCUUCGGGUUGUAAACCGCUUUUGUCAGGGAAGAAAUUGGACUUACUAAUACUAGGUCUAGAUGACGUACCUGAAGAAUAGCCCCMWYYCC
rnacentral:rRNA from 1 species